UAUUGAUUAUGACGUACUUGUACUGAUUGAGAUUUUAACACGAAGUGAGUGGCGAACGGGUGAGUAACACGUGGGUAACCUGCCCAGAAGUAGGGGAUAACACCUGGAAACAGAUGCUAAUACCGUAUAACAGAGAAAACCGCAUGGUUUUCUUUUAAAAGAUGGCUCUGCUAUCACUUCUGGAUGGACCCGCGGCGUAUUAGCUAGUUGGUGAGGUAAAGGCUCACCAAGGCAGUGAUACGUAGCCGACCUGAGAGGGUAAUCGGCCACAUUGGGACUGAGACACGGCCCAGACUCCUACGGGAGGCAGCAGUAGGGAAUCUUCCACAAUGGACGCAAGUCUGAUGGAGCAACGCCGCGUGAGUGAAGAAGGGUUUCGGCUCGUAAAGCUCUGUUGUUAAAGAAGAACGUGGGUAAGAGUAACUGUUUACCCAGUGACGGUAUUUAACCAGAAAGCCACGGCUAACUACGUGCCAGCAGCCGCGGUAAUACGUAGGUGGCAAGCGUUAUCCGGAUUUAUUGGGCGUAAAGCGAGCGCAGGCGGUCUUUUAAGUCUAAUGUGAAAGCCUUCGGCUCAACCGAAGAAGUGCAUUGGAAACUGGGAGACUUGAGUGCAGAAGAGGACAGUGGAACUCCAUGUGU
rnacentral:rRNA from 1 species